GCACUCUAAAAAACGCUGGGUUGUUUUUUCAACCCAACUGCUGGGUUGAGGCCGUUGGAUAGGACUUUGGGAUGUUUUAACCCAAGUUUGGGUUGAAAAUAACUAUCUUUUUUAACCCAGCGGGGGUGGGUGAGGACGCGGACGUGAAGGAGAGCACGCACGUCACGUCAAAAUCGUACGUCUCUCCAGUGCGAGCAGCCGCCAUUUUCUCAGCGUGAUAGAAGCGAGAAGCGAGUGAAAGACUAUGACUUGUCCAGCUCCUGUCUUCAUUGUCCUCGCGCUGAGAGUUAAAGACACAGAAGCUGUUUGUGUGAGGAGUCACAGACCUGUGUGAGGAGGAGGAGGAGGAGGUGUUCUUCUGAAGAGGGGGACAGACGGUUUAAGGAGAGUAAACUUCAGAAUAACAUCAAGUUAUCUUUAUUUUGACUAAGACUAAAAUAAUGUGUGUGUUUUUUUUUAGAUGUUGAAAUCCAGAGACAAGAUAACUUCAUUCUUUUGAGACUGAUAACUCAAACUAACUGGAGUUAAGGACACACAAGUCUGCUUGUGUGAGGAGGAGGUUUUCUCAGCUUCUUCUGAAGAGAGGGAAAGAUCGUUUAAACUUCAUAAUUUCAUGUUAUCAGUUGUUGUUUUUUUACUAAGAGUAAAAUAAUGUUUGUUUUUUGUUUUUGUAGAUGUUAAAAGCAAGAGACAUGGGAGAUCAUCAUUCCCUUGAGAUUUUAUAAAUCAAACCAACUUUGGAGUUGUCUGAUUUGGAGAGUCAUUAUUCUUGGUCUGUGCUCUUAGAGGCCACUGAUGAAGAGCAGGCGGUGACUGGGAUCAAUGCUGGUCAGAGAGGAGAAUCUUCUUUCCCCUAAACUGAUGCAGCGGUGGUUUUAAAGGAGGACGCUGCCCUGGAUGAUGUAGAAGAUGUCACAUGCUGUGCUGAUGGGGUUUCUUCAUGAUUACAUCAGUCAUGCUAAAGAGAUCAUGAAAAUUGACUGUGAUGCAUGAUCUGUAUUCAUGGACAAUGAAACAAACUGUAAGUGUAUAAUUUGUUAAAAAAAAAAAGUUAAAUGCUUUUUCUGUGUUGUUUAGUAGAAAAGUUUACACUCUGUCAUUCAUACACCUGCUCACAUUCUUUCACACACACACACACACACACACACACAUGCGUCUGUUAAAUGUUAUAAUAUCAAAGUUAAUGUUGUGAUUUAUUUGUGUACUGUCAUGCCAGAAUAGUAGGAAAAAAACCAAACUAAUUGUAAAUUUAUUGUAUGUGUUUUCGUAUAUUUUUAUACAAUAUAUACAAUUGAACAAAGUCCAAUUUGAUCUUAAGUUAUAUUCAUCAAAUGUUCAAUGCUUUGUUUAUGAACUCUGUAGCUGUUAAUGCCAUCCUUUUCUGCAUUUCUUCUAACAUGUUACUUUUUGACUUUUCUCUUGUUUUUAAUAAAUAUUUUCCUUUUGGUAAUUAUUAUUUGUGUGUAAAAGUGAUAUUUAAAAUGAAUAACAUUUGUAGGUUUAAUGCCUAGCUCAAUUUGGGUUAAUUUUAACGUAGAAAUGCAUUGUUUCCCCACAUGGCUGCACUCUGCGAGUUUAUUUUCUGCCAGCAGGAGGCGCUAAGAGCGGGAGAGGUAGGUUUCUCCGGUAACGGCUGCAGAGCGGUACUGAGCUCACAAACGCUGCCUUAUCAAGCACAUGCGAAAUGAUAUCGAACAUUUUCUAAAUACAGUAGUUUUCCUUCUGAAAUACAGUGAUAAAAAAAACACCCGCUCUGUUUUUUUAAACCCUGCAAUAUAGUCAUUUUAAACCAUAAAA